rfam:Fukomys damarensis contig156557, whole genome shotgun sequence.
AUCUUUGUGCAGUGGCAAUAUCAUAGCCAAUGAGGUUUAUCCAAAGUGUGAUUAUUGCUAAUUGAAAAAUGCAGAAGUGUUCGUUUUUCCACACGGCUUCAUCAACAUGUUAUUGUUUUAAUUCUUGAAGAUAGCCACUCUUU